GAAAUGCGAUAAGUAAUGUGAAUUGCAGAAUUCAGUGAAUCAUCGAAUCUUUGAACGCACCUUGCGCUCCUUGGUAUUCCGAGGAGCAUGCCUGUUUGAGUGUCAUGAAAUCAUCAACUACGUUCAGCAUUAUUGAUGUUGAAAGUGAAGUUGGAGUUGGAGGAUAAUUGCUGGCGUGACCUUAAGUGGUUGCUUGUUGGCUCCUCUUGAAUGCAUGAGCUCUUCUAAUAGAUCAUGGCUUAGUGACACUAAUGUGAUAAUUAUCUAUGUUAGAUGUGAAAAGCUAUGAGUAGAGUGACUUUCAAUGUAUGAAGGGAGCUCCUAUGGAAGAGAAGAUUGUCUCGGAAAUUUUUUUGAGAUGAUAUUUGACACAUCUGACCUCAAAUCAGGUAGGACUACC
rnacentral:misc_RNA from 1 species